ensembl:lncRNA
GUCUGUUUUCCCCUGGCAGUGGUUUUCCAGGUGUCUGACGAUGCCCCUGUGCUGACACUCUGGGGGGGCCACUCCCACCUCCUGAAGGAUGGUGGAGGGGAGUAGGAGGAUGGUGCCCGGGGGGGCUGUGGGCUGCUGGACCGGUCACGCUUUCCCCAGGCAGCAGUGGUCGGUCUCUUGGACAGUUCCCGCGAGCCAACACCCUGGGGGGGCUGCUCCCACCUCCUGCUGGAUGGUGGAGAGGAGCGAGAGGACAGAGGUGGUGCUGGGCGUGCUCCCACCUCCUGCUGGAUGGUGGAGAGGAGCGAGAGGACAGAGGUGGUGCUGGGCGGUACUGGGGGCUGCUGGGCCUGGUCUGUUUUCCCCUGGCAGUGGUUUUCCAGGUGUCUGACGAUGCCCCUGUGCUGACACUCUGGGGGGGCCACUCCCACCUCCUGAAGGAUGGUGGAGGGGAGUAGGAGGAUGGUGCCCGGGGGGGCUGUGGGCUGCUGGGCCGGUCAUGCUUUCCCCAGGCAGCAGUGGUCGGUCUCUUGGACAGUUCCCGCGAGCCAACACCCUGGGGGGGCUGCUCCCACCUCCUGCUGGAUGGUGGAGAGGAGCGAGAGGACAGAGGUGGUGCUGGGCGGUACUGGGGGCUGCUGGGCCUGGUCUGUUUUCCCCUGGCAGUGGUUUUCCAGGUGUCUGAAGAUGCCCCUGUGCUGACACUCUGGGGGGGCCACUCCCACCUCCUGAAGGAUGGUGGAGGGGAGUAGGAGGAUGGUGCCCGGGGGGGCUGUGGGCUGCUGGGCCGGUCACGCUUUCCCCAGGCAGCAGUGGUCGGUCUCUUGGACAGUUCCUGUGAGCCAACACCCUGGGGGGGCUGCUCCCACCUCCUGCUGGAUGGUGGAGGGGUGGGGGAGGGCAUUUGGGGAGCCUGGGGGCGGCCAGGUCUGUCAUGCUGGUGGGGCCGCUGCUGUCCCUUGAAGGAUGGUGGAGGGGAUGGAGAGGGCAGUGGAGGGGGUUGGGGGCGCCACUCCCGUUCCCUGAAGGAUCGUGGAGGGGAAUGGGAGGGUGGUGACGGUGCCUGGGGAGCUGGGGGGCUGCUGGAGCGGUCGCGCUUCCCCCAGGCAGUGGUUGUCCGUCUGUUGGACAUUUUCCCCAAGUCUGCACUCUGCGGGGAUUGCUUCCCUCCCCUGAUGGAUGGUGGAGGGGAGGGGGAAGGCAGAGGUGGUGCUGGGAGGGGCUGAGGGCUGCUGGGCCUCUCAGGCUUCCCUGAGGCAGCGGUUGUCUGGGUGCUGGACGAUGCCCCCGAGCCGACACCCUGAGGGGACCGCUCCCGUCCCCUGAAGGAUGGUGGAGGAGGAGGAGGCAGAGGUCGGGGGGGCGGCGUUGGUGGCCGGGGGCUGCUGGGCCUGUUGCUCAUCUGCCGGGGAGCCGUUGUUUCAGUGCCGGCCGAUGACCGCAAGCCUCCACCCCGGGCAGGUUCCUUCCGUCCCCUGAAGGAUGGUGGAGGGGGACGGGGGGGUGGUGUUGAUGCCCGGGGGGGCCGGGGGCUGCUGGGCCUGUCGCUCAUCUGCUGGGGAGCCGUUGUUUCAGUGCUGGCCAAUGACUGCGAGCCUCUACCCCGGGCAGGUUCCUUCCGUCCCCUGAAGGAUGGUGGAGGGGGACGGGGGGGCUGUGCUGAUGCCCGGUGGGUCUGGGGGCUGCUGGGCCUGUUGCGCAUCCCCCGGGAUGUGGAGCCCAGGCCGGUGGGCCGCGGGGGCCGAGGUGGGGGCAGCUGAGCCUGGCUGCUGUCCAGCCUGGCAGGGGCUGCUCUGGUGGUGUCCUGCAGCAGGUGGGCAGGUCGUCCCCACACAGGUGGUUGCCACCAUGUCUGUCUUUUGGGCCCCUCGAGGUGGGCAGGCUGUUCAUCUGACUCUGAACUGGAGCUGCUGCUAUCAUCCCGGGCUUCAUCAGCUGCAGCGAGGCGCCUGCGGAGAGAGGAAUGUGCUGAGGGCACAGGAGAGCCCCUGCUCUCCUUCCUCAAAGCACAUGGCAAAGAGCUGCCCUCAGCUCCCAGCCUGUGUUGGACCCAGCAGGAAGAAUGGGCUGAAGCCGAUUAAAACAUCUAACGGCGUACGUCUCAGACCAUGUUAGCCAACAACUAACUGGCCUCUCUACACUAACUGGAAGUGCCUCCGGGCUCACAGCAGCCCUACAGUAAAGAGUUAGGCAGGAUGGGGGUGGGGGUGAACA